rnacentral:rRNA from 1 species
CUUGUAGGUGGCCAACUAAGUCAGACGUGAAAUCCCUCGGCUUAACCGGGGAACUGCGUCUGAUACUGGAUGGCUGGAGUGUGGGAGAGGGAUGCGGAAUUCCAGGUGUAGCGGUGAAAUGCGUAGAUAUCUGGAGGAACACCGGUGGCGAAGGCGGCAUCCUGGACCAUUACUGACACUGAAAAGCGAAAGCCAGGGGAGCAAACG